rnacentral:lncRNA from 1 species
UCCGUAUUUUACUUAUAAAUGGACUUAGUUUUUCUUCCAGUUAACAUUACAUACAGUCUGCAGUUAAAGUUUAUAAAACAUUUAUUAGAUUCAUAAAUUAUCCUGGAUUUUUUUUUACCAAACUUGGAAGCUUCUUUCAAUCAAAAGACAGUAUCGUGAGGGAAAUUUUUAUUGAUGUUUUUCCUCAUUUUUGUUGAGUCUGCGAUUAACAGAAAAAGUAGGCGAGACACCAGGUUCCGUGGAACCCUUACGAAUUUUUU